UCCGAACCUAGGUACUGUGAAAAGGAAGAUGGGGAAAGAAAAAGCCCCGAAAAUCCCAAUAAAAAAGCAUUAAUUGGAUAUUGAUUGAUUACGUGUACAGAUCGAGUGGGGGGCGUCCAAGUUAGUCUCCCCACACUAUAAAACCCCCUAUUGUUUCAGAUAUUUCUACUCCUCUCCAUAAAGCUCUUUUCUUUUUCUUCCCAUUCCAAAAUUGAUGUCCUACUCAAGCAAAUUCCCAUUCUCCGAUCUUGAAUGAUUUUUUUCUUCUCCUCUCUCUUUGAUUUCCUCCACAGAUUUCAAUCCUAAAUUCUUUACCUUUUGAUCACAAAUUUCUUCGAGUUUCUUCCGAUGAGUCCAUGAGUUUCAGCUUUAUCUUAACUCUUUAAUGCUAGUUUCUCUCCUUUUGAAUUAUCUUGCAGCUCAUUUUUAGAGGAGCAACGGAGCCAGGAGAUGCCGUUUGGUUCUCAGUUGAAACCCAAUGUUCUUGACAAAGGACUACUUGAAGCUGCACAUAUGAAGGUUUCUUUGGCAAUGUUUCUUUGAAUGAGGCGACCUUCUGUCACAGCACAAGGAUAAAAUAAGCCAGAGGUCUGCAGGGACCAUUGUCAGUGAACUGAUCAUGGGAAGAGUAUCAGUUAAAAGUUGUUGACAUAACUAGCACCAAGUCCAAAAAGAUGCAGAAUUCAAGUGCACCCAUGGACAUGAGAGUUAUGGGAUUUAUGAGAUUUGUUGCGUGAUUCAAUGACAGGUAUCAAGAAAAAAAAAGUAACUUAGUGAAGAGUUUUUUAGCAAUCAGCAAUAUGUUUUAUGGUAAAUAUUCUUGUCUUGUCUAAGUGACUUUAUCUGGGCAUGACCAGUGGCUACCCCAUUUAAAGGAGAAGAUUUAUGGUAUGUUAGAAGCCCAACAACAUAACAGAAGUAGUUAAAAUCUUAUGAACUUAAAUCAGUAUUAUUUGCUUUUUUGCACAGUAUUUAUCUACCUGAUUGGAUUUUACUGACAAGACAUGGCCACAGGUCACUAAUUGUCUACAUUGCUGGAGUCUGAUUUUACUGCAUGUUCUUUCACAUGUAUUUCUGGUUCAACCUUCUGUUGACAUUGUGAGAUGCUGUUUUUGAUUGACAAUUAUCACUAAUAAAAAUAGAAAAGUAAAGGUUCUUGUGUUGUAAAAUGAUGAUUAGGAUGCUGAUGUGUCAACAAUGCGGAAGCUAUAUCUUAAUAUAUCAAACUUUGAGAGAGGUGAAAUUGCUCAUUCUCUUUUUCUACUUACUAAUAACUGCCUUUCUAUCUUUACUAUAUUCUCUAUAUGCUGGAAUCCUGUGUGAAGCAUUAGUGUUGUUUUCUAUUUCUAGAGCUUUAAGACUAUUUAUCUUCUCGAGUGAUGUUUCUGAGACUAUAAACACUUAGAUAUGUUGGUUUUCCUCUUGUUUUCUACAAUUGAUGUCGGUGCCAUUUGCAACAUUUACCACACUGCAAUUCUGCUUUCAUUCUUUACAUCAUCAUUCUUCCCUUGCAAUCAUAUCAAAGGCAUGUAUCUGUUCAAACAAAAUGUAUGUUGCCCAUCCUUUAUAGGUCCUUUUUUUAACACAAUCCUUCAUUUAGAUUUCCAUUCUCAGACCAUUGACACCAAGGCUAGUUGGAAAAUAUCAUCAUCUAUAAUCUCCUUUUAUGCAUAAAAUAUUCCAACAUGUGGAUGCCUUAAAGAUUUGUGUAAUUUCCAGAACUUUUAGCUCAAAGUUUCAAAUGAUUGUUAGAUUCAGUGUCUCUUUGCCAUAGAGCUGCCUAAUUGAAAUUUUUUUUGGUGUAUGCUUCUCUAGUUGUUAACCACUUUGUUUAGAGAAAAGUAACAAAGUUCAACAUGCUUGUCUCUAAUACCAUUUAUGGCCUACACAUAGAGAGUGAGUACUAAAAUACCUUCACUUCAGAUAUUGGGUUUCCCAUCUGCUGAUGUUCCUCCUUUGAUUUGUUGUAUCUUUCAAUCACUGAUUUCAUGCUGUAAGAACACAUUCAAAUUUUAUUAGAGAUGAACAUUGUGCUCUCUGAGAUGUGAACACUUCAUAAAUAAAAUGUCACUAACUACCAAAUGUAUGACUUAGAAAGAAAUUGGAUAUGUUCAUUGAGUUGUGCUUAUGUCAGUUAAAGCUGUAACUAUGGACAUCAAAUAAGAUUUUCAGUUCUUUGGGUUGAAAUUGACUGGAGCACAAACUAAAGAUGCAUUGUCUAUAUAUAUUAUAUAUUAUUUGACUAAAAUUUUGAUGUUGAUAGAUCUAAAGAAGUUUUAUAUUUAUUUAUUUAUUUAUUUUGUUUUGGCCUGAAAAUCAGGAAAUACACUUUGCAGAAACUGAAAUAUAGCAUGUGACCUGAACUGAUAGUGUUUCUCUACAUUAUUGCAAUUUUUCCUCAUAUGCCCUUUCCUCUCUCUUUACAUGGUUAUUUUUCCUUGAGUUUGGUAUUACAGAAUUAUGUGCUGAAGGAAAAGAGUCAUUACAUACUAUUGGCUAUGAUUCUUUUUGUAGAUAAAUAUUUAUGCUUUUUUCUUUUUUGGUUUUUUGGGGGGGCGCAAAAUUUUACCCUUUCUUUCUAUGCAACAUUAAUCAAGCAAAGAUUGGUUUAUGGCAUCAUUCUACAAUAUUUUCUCAUUCAUCACAUAGAAAGGUCACAUUGCAGGAUAUGAUCAUCAUCUUUGGAUCCUUUAUGGAUGUCAAUUGUCAAGACUUCCUGCACAUUAUUGAAAAGGGGAGAGGGUAGAUGGGCAGAAGAGGUUUAUAUACAAAUAAGUUUCUUAGCAAGCUGGAAAAUCUGUAGAAGUUUGAAUUUAGUGAAUUACUGUUGCAAUAGGGUUUAGAAAGCCUGUAUAACUUAUAGAACAAGAGAAGUAAGAUAAUUCCGAAAGAGACACAAACAAGAUACGUCUCUCAGACAAGAUAGGGAAUCUGAAAUAUGCAUUUAUAGUAAAUUAUUGGGUUUUCCCAUUCCCCAGAAGAACAUCUCUAAAAUUGAUAAAGGGCUUUAGUCCUCUGAUGUGCAAGGUUCUGGUUGCUUUUGUAGCAAACAGAAGGAUUGAAUAUUCUAUUGUAAAAGCAGUCCUGUGAUCUCAAUUUUAUCUUCAUUCAGUUUUCAAAUUACAGGGACAUUAACUGAGGAGAAUAAGCCCAUUCUCUUCCCAGUGGCUCUACCCAGAUAAGAUGAGAAAUCAAACUGAUCUCAUGCAAUGAGUGAACAUGGGCAAAGAUUUAGAGAGAACAAUGGACCUCUACUCUACCAAAUCAAAUGCAAAAUUAGUUCCUGAUGUUGCCAUUAAUCUAUGGGUUGUAUGAUGGUCCAGAAAAGUUCAUGAAAAGCUUGAAGCAAGAAACAAAGUGAGGUCGAUGGUCGUCUCAAUGGUCAUCU